GAUGAACGCUGGCGGCGUGCCUAAUACAUGCAAGUCGAGCGAACGGACGAGAAGCGUUCUUCUCUGAGGUUAGCGGCGGACGGGUGGGUAACACGUGGAUAACCUACCUAUAAUACUGGGGUAACUUCGUGGAACCAGAGCUAAUACCGGAUAAUAUUUCUAACGGCAGAGUUCAAAAGUGAUAAACGGUCUGCCCGUCACUUUGAGAUGGAGCCGCGCUGCAUUAGCUAGUGGGUAAGGUAACGGCUUACCAAGGCAACGAUGCAUAGCCGACCUGAGAGGGUGAUCGGCCACACUGGAACUGAGACACGGUCCAGACUCCUACGGGAGGCAGCAGUAGGGAAUCUUCCGCAAAGGGCGAAAGCCUGACGGAGCAACGCCGCGUGAGUGAUGAAGGUCUUCGGAUCGUAAAGCUCUGUUAUUAGGAAAGAAAAUAUGUGUAAGUAACUGUCGACAUCUUGACGGUACCUAAAGAGAAAGCCACGGCUAACUACGUG
rnacentral:rRNA from 1 species